rnacentral:lncRNA from 1 species
UACUAAUCUCAUUGCCAGUGAUCAUAUUGCAACAUGAUAAAGAGAUAUGGGGUGAAGAUGCAAACAAGUUCAAUCCAGAGAGAUUUAGAGAAGGAAUAUCAAGUGCAACAAAAGGUCAAGUAACAUAUUUUCCAUUUGCUUGGGGUCCUAGAAUAUGCAUUGGACAAAAUUUUGCCAUGUUAGAGGCAAAGAUGGCUGUGUCUAUGAUCCUACAAAGCUUCUCUUUCGAAUUGUCUCCAUCCUACACACAUGCUCCUCAAUCCAUAAUAACCAUGCAGCCUCAGUUUGGUUGCCCACUUAUUUUCCACAAACUGUAACUUUUUGCUUGAACCUUGGUAUUUGUAUCAGGAAAUACAUCAACUUUGUAUGUCUUUUAACGCAGUUUAUUAUUCGUUGCAACUUGUAAAUCUUUAUAUAUAAAUUUUGCUACGCAUCAAAAGUAUUAGGUUUAGAUGAACUCAGUGAUCUCUACAUCCACAAUUGUCGUUGGCAGGUAUUGACAUGACAAGAAACGGUAAUGAUGGAACGAUAUAGUAAUUUUUUUAAAAAAUAUUGACGGUGUGUGAACUAGCUUACGAACAUCUCAAUUAUCAUUAAUUAGUUACUUGAACAAUCCUCAUUAGUAUCCUUCAUAAAUAUAUCAUUCAGUUGAUCUCUCCGUUUUACAUCUUCAAAAAAAAUCAGGUCAUCUUAAAUCGUAGCAUUGGUAAAGCGGAAGUCCAUUUCGAUAUGUUUAACUCUUUCAUGCUUCAUUAAUUUGGUCACAAACAAAUGUAAUAGAUCUUCAUCGAUUUUGAAACUGCAAAAUAAUCAUGCAAGUGAUUAGAGUAUAUGUCAAGUUCAAGAGUUCCUUUAAAGUAACACAAGUUUUGUUAGAGAUCUACUGAUCGUGUGUUUAAUGAUAGGUGUGUGUAUAAACUAGAAAGAAUUACGGUUUUAGUCUCUGAGUUAACGUGUUAUUCUAGUUUUGGUCCCUAUGAUAUCCGAUUAACCACUUUUGACCUUCAAUUAAACCCUAACUGCUAUUUUGAUCUGAUGACUAACGGAUCUCAUCAACCUGAAUGCACUAAUAAAAUACCUUGUAUAUAUUAUCCAUGAAAAAGUUUGAAGUCAUACUAAAAAUGUUAAGAGGUGAAAUCAAUAAAAUUUGCUUAAUUAGAUGCCCAAUCAGUAAAAAAUGUGCCUAGAUAUUAUAAAUGCUGAAAAAGAAUUUAACAUUUUUGCAUAUAAUUUAUUUUCAUAAAGGGUCAAAAAAGUGCUCUUACUAACGUUAUUGGUUCAUUUGGAUUGAUAAUUCAUGUUAGUUAUCUGAUUAAAAUAGCACGUAUUGCUUCAUUAAAGAUUAAAAAUGCUUAGUUGAAUAUUACAGAGAUCAAAGCUGAAAUAACACGAUAACUCAGAACUCAAAAGGUCAUUUCCUCGCAUAAACUAAUUGAAAAUGUUGAUUGCUCGGGCAAUAAAGGCAUACUAGUGAUGUCUAAACAGUAGUCCAAACCAGAGAGAGCAAAUUGAUAACCCGAUAAAACUAGGAAAAAAUACAUCAAAUAAACAUUUAAACAUAUCUGUUUUUGGUCAGAUAGAAUUUAAUUUAAAUUUGGUAUAAGGAGCAUCUCCUGACAAAAAGAGUAAACUCAUUCAACUUCUUCUUUCUGUGUUGGCAUAAAGCUAGUGGGUACUCCACCUAUAGGAAUUAAUUUAGCAACAAAAGCAAAAUUCUUGGCAAAUACGUAAGACCAUGUAUAUAUGAGGCUGACAUCUGAUUAGCCUUUAAGGUCAAGGAAGCUGGUGAUAAGGGAGCGGGCAACCAAAGCCAGAGUGAAUGGUGGCAUAAUUGUAACAAUUAAAUUUUACAUGUCUCAUUCAGACUAAGAUAUAACUGAAGGAGAAGCAUUUUUGUUGUAGGUGACAAUGAUCUUGUAUGAGACACUACGGUUAUAUCCCCCAACAAUAGCUAGUAAUAAUUUGGCGAGUAAUGAAGACAUUGAAUUAGGAGAAUUGUCUCUACCAGCUGUGCACUAGUCUCUUUGCCAGUGAUUUUACUGCAUCAUAUAAAGAGAUACGGGGUGAAGACGCAAACAAGUUCAAUCCUGAGAGAUUUAGAGAAGGAAUAUCAAGUGCAACAAAGGGUCAACUUACAUAUUUUCCAUUUUCUUGGGGUCCUAGAAUAUGCAUUGGACAAAAUUUAGCCAUGUUAGAGGCAAAGAUGGCUGUGUCUAUGAUCCUACAAAGCUUCUCUUUCGAAUUGUCUCCAUCUGACACACAUGCUCCAUCUUUCUCUCUUUGUGGCUGCUAAAAACUCUUUUCUGGAUGGUGCAAUAAGUCCUAAAAAAUCUAUAUAAAUGCCCCAUAGCAAUGGAUUUAUGAACAAAAAUGGGUUGGUUCAAUUGAGUUUUAUUUAUUCACAUAUGAAGGGAAAACGAUCCAUAGCCCAAUAAUUCUCCCCCUCACGACUGUGUGGAGGAGACCAUCAUCCCGGUGAUCAUGCAACAAUCUUCAACUUCCCUCUAAAAAGUAGCAAAUUCUAAAAUUUUGUGAUUUUAAACUAAAUAUGUGUAUGUAUUAAAAUUCUCUUCGAAUCUCUUGAUUCUUGUUGAAAGUUGCUUUAAGAAUGCAACUGUUUUUUUUCCUUUUUUCUCCAGCAAUAUUUUUUUUAACGUACAAUCCUAGUUAAAUUAGGAGUCCUAUCUUUGGUAGGAAACUAGUUAGUUAUUCUAAUUUUGGUAGAAAUACGUGUUUCUUUGUCCUAUUUUUAGUUGUAAUAACAACUAUCUAAGUUGCUAAGUUGAUGAUCAAUUAUAGUCGGUCUUUCAACAAGAAAAUAAUCUCUCUCUGUCUCUCUACAUAUUCUCUUCUUCAAACUCCAUCUCUGUUUCUGCGUCCAGCUUUAAAUUGAAUUCCUGUGUUAUUUCCCUUUAACAGUUUUAAACCAACAAUUGGUAUCAAAGCUUUAAUCUUAAGGGACCUGUGAGUGUUGUGCAUCAAUCUGAUCUAGUGGAUACCAUGAAUGGAGAAACAAAUUCUUCUUCAAUGGCACCACCAACUUUCGAUAGAGAAAGUUAUCAAAUCCGGGCAGUUAGAAUGCGGAUAUAUCUACAAGCUUUGAAUCUCUGGGAAGCUGUUGAAGAUGAACACGAGAUAGCUCCCUUGCCAGACAAUUCCACGGUGGCGCAGAUUAAAACUCACAAGGAGAGAAAAACUAGGAAAUCAAAGGCAAUGACAUGCUUAUUUACUGUAGUUUCAUCUAAUAUCUUGACUCGUAUCAUGUCUCUACAAUCAGCAAAAGAGGUAUGGGAUUAUCUCAAGACUGAGUAUGAAGGAGAUGAAAGGAUUCGAGGGAAGCAAGUGGUGAAUCUGGUACGUGAGUUUGAGCUGCAAAGGAUGAAAGAAAGUGAAACCAUAAAGGAAUACUCUGACAGACUUCUUAAUUUAGCAAAUCACAUCAGAUUGUUGGGUUCCACUUUCAAUGAUUCAAGGAUCGUUGAAAAAAUCCUAUUAACGGUACCUGAAAGAUUUGAGGCUACCAUAACAACCUUAGAAAACACUAAGAACUUGUCUAAGAUCACACUUGCAGAGCUCUUAAGUGCUUUUCAAGCGUAAGAGCAACGGCGUAUUAUGAGACAAGGAGGAGCUGUCGAAGGUGCCUUACCAGCCAAACAUCACGAUGAUGGACGUUCUAAGAAGAAGAAGAAUAAGAAGUACCAACCAACUGAUGAAGAAGGUGCAACGCACAACAAUAAAAUCAAAACAGGUGGUUUCAAAGGAAACUACCCUCCUUGUAAGCAUUGCAGAAAGCUCGGACAUGCACCUUUCAAGUGUUGGGAGAGGGCUGAUGCUAAGUGCAGUAAGUGCAAUCAGCUUGGGCAUGAAGCGAUCAUCUACAAGAACAAAACUGAGCAGUAAGAUGCAGAGGCUCGAGUUGUUGAUGAACUGGAAGAAGAUCAACUCUUUGUCGCAUCAUGUUUAACAAGCAGUGUCUCAAGCGAAUCGUGGCUGAUCGAUAGCGGAUGCACAAAUAAUAUGACUUGUGAUAAAAAUCUUUUUAAAGAUUUGAGCCCUACUAAAGUUACAAAAGUUAUAAUCGGCCAUGGUGGUUAUAUUCCAGCAAAAGGAAUGGGAACCAUUACAAUUGAAACAUAAUCGGGCACUAAAAUAAUUUCUGAUAUUCUUUAUGUACUCGAUUUGGACCAAAACUUAUUAAGUGUUGGUCAGUUAUUAGAAAAAGAUUUCAAAUGUAUUUCAAAGAUAAACACUGUUUGAUCAAGAAAGCAUCUGAACAAGACCUAUUUAAAGUCAAAAUGAGAGGCAGAAGUUUCUCAUUAAAUCCAUUGGAAGAAGAACGCGGAUUUCACCCGUUGUGUGUGGAGCCACCUCUACUAAAAGAAGAUAUCAGACCUGAUGAUGAAGGCUGGAUUUGUCCUGGUUGUGAUUUCAAAGUUGACUGCAUUGACUUGCUUAAUGAUAGUCAAGGAACCGACCUUUCCUUCACUGACAGCUGGGAGAAAGUAUAUCCCAAGGAAGUUGUUGCUGCGUCUGGGGAGAAUCUAGAUGAUAUUUCUGAACUUCCAUCUGAUGACUUGAAGGAUGAUGACUUCAACCUUGAAAAUCCAGAUGUAAAAAAAAUGAUUUUGAAGUUGAGGCCAGUUCUGAUGAAUCUACAAAGUAUGGGACUUCACAAGCUUCCAAGAAAAACGCUCGUUAUCUAAUGGAAAAGAUAAUCUUGUUAAACUUUAGGAUGCCAAGUCAGGGAUGGAACUUUCGUCAUUUCACGGGCAUAAGAAUACCGUUCUCCGCGUGAAGUGGAAUCAGAAUGGUAACUGGAUUCUUUUUUGCUUCCAAGGAUCAAAUUAUCAAGCUUUAUGACAUAAGGUCUAUGAAGGAUCUUGAGUCAUUCCGUGGGCAUUAGAACGAUGUGAAAUUAUUGGCCUGGCAUCUGUUUCAUGAAGAAUAUUUAGUCAGCGGAACCUAUGAUGGUUCAAUAUUUCAUUGGCUUGUGGGUCAUGAAGCUCCUCAAGUAGAAAUUACAAAUGCACAUGAAACUGGUGUUUGGGAUCUUUCAUGGUACCCAAUUGGUUAUCUCCUUUGCAGUGGCAGCAAUGAUCAGACAACAAAGUUCUGGUGCAGAAAAAGGCCUGGCGACUCCGCUCGUGAUAAAUUCAAUCUAGGACAGCAAGGUUUGGGUGAUCAAAACAAUGUUCUUGGUCGCAUGCCUGGUAAUUUUCCAGGUCUUGAGUCCCCCUCAACUCGUGGAGCAUUUACCUCCGGUAUAUUAAAAACUGAGGGUACAAUACCUGGAGUUGGAACUGCAGUGCCUCUGUCUAUCCCAUUACUUGAUUCAUCACCUCAAGGAGAACAGAAGACUUCAAUGCCAAUUUCAAUGCUUUUAGGAGCUCCUCCUUUUUCUCAUGGUCCACAUCCAUCUCUUCUUGCAAGUAAUCAGCAACAAGAGUAUCAACAAAAUAUGCAGCAAGUUCAGCAGCAGCAGUCACUACCUCAACAAAUGACUUCUCUUCUUCUGAAGCCUUCAAAUUUGCCACAGUUAGAAGACCUGUUCACUAAGCCACUUCCAAUCAGCAAGUUCGAGCUUCUAAGGCAAAGAAUUGGUGUUUGCAUUUCAUAAAGCAAGGAGGAGUGUUGAAAGUUGCUUUAAGAAUGCAACUGUUUUUUUCUUUUUCCUUCAGCAGUUUUUUUUUACGUACAAUCCUAGUUAAAUUAGGAGUCCUAUCUUUGGUAGGAAACUAGUUAGUUAUUCUAAUUUUGGUAGAAAUAGGUUGUUUCUUUAUCCUAUUUUUAGUUGUAAUAGAAACUAUUUAAGUUGCUAAGUUGAUGAUCAAUUAUAGUCGGUCUUUCAACAAGAAAAUAAUCUCUCUCUGUCUCUCUGCAUAUUCUCUUCUUCAAACUCCAUCUCUGUUUCUGCGGCCAGCUUUAAAUUGAAUUCUUGUGUUAUUUCCCUUUAACGGUUAUAAACCAACAAUUCUAAACAUGUGAUGUGGGAUGUUGAAAAUAAAUACUCCGUCCAUUUCAAUUUGUUUGUCUCACUUUCCUUUGUGUCUUUAUGGAAAAGAAUAUCUACUCUUUUUUGGAAACAUUUUGAUUUCAAUUUUUCACAUUUUGUGUUCAAGACCAUAAGCUUAGAGAACAUUUUGGUACUUUUCACUUAUUUUUAUGAGCCUUCGUCCUGUUGUUGUUUUAUAAAAUUUCACAGUGAGUCAUAUGCCCAAAGUAGUUCCUGUGCUCACACUUGAUUACUGUUAACAUAUAUUUUCUCUUCUAGAUUCUCCGUGAAAUGUAUUGCUAUGAAUUCCCAUGAUUAUGUAUGAGUUGUUGCCCUAUUGCUAUAUAUUCACCAUAUCUUCGACGAAAUCAUAAUUCAUCCAAUAUGUAACUGAAUUCUAUAACUCGAUUAGCUUGACUUCGGUAUGAACAAAGAAGGAAACUAAAUAGUCGUGCAGUGGAUCAAGAAAACAGAAUAGUGCUACAGUGAAGCCAAAGGAAAAAAAAAUAGAACUGCAUCUCAAAAAAAAGGGUAGGUACUUCAAUUUUCUCAUUUUUACUUGUAUAUUUUGGUGUAUUAUAAAGAUAAUACGUGAACUGAAGUAUAAUUUAGAAUAAAAUUAUAUGUCAGGACCCAUAUUCUCCCCAUAGGAUUACAUUUUCAUAUUGUCUAUUAGAUUAUGGUUUAUGCGGUUGAAAGAUCUAUUUAUAUGAAUUGAUCAUCAAAGGCUGAGAAGAUUCAUUUUUUGAUGGGACUGGUGCACUGAGCAUCUAAAGAUGUUGAGCUCAAAAAAUAUUUGUACAAUAUUUCUUCUAAAAGGUUAGUCAUUUUAUCAAUAAGUUCAGGUUAACAACAACAGUCAUCUCAGCCCCAACAGCAAGCUCAGGCACGACAACAACUUAACAGCUCAGCCACGACGACAACACCUUCAAAGCAUGUAUCAAAGUAAUAGCUUUUGGAAAUAUCCAAUCUUUGUAUAGUAAAAGAGUAGGUAUACCACCUUGUCACCCGCAAAUGCCUCCUAUUUCGUCAUAUUCUCAGAUCCCUUUAACCAGGCCAUGGGAUAAACAAACGAGUAUGCAGAAUUUUUGUAAUCCAAGGCUAUCACAUUCACGAUCUUUAUCACAACCAGCUGUUCUUUGUUGAAGAAAAUUUGUUCUAUAACAGGUUGAUCCACAAAGUUGAUACUGUAAUUGAAACGGACAGGAAUAAGCAAUACCACAAAACGAAAGAAAAUAAGAAGAACACACAGAUUUUACAUGGAAAUCCUUGACAGGAAAAACUAGGGGUAGAGGAGGAGAAGAUUCACUAUGAUGAAGAGGAAUACAUGGAGGAGACGAAGGUUUCAAUGAUGUAUAUAAACUACCACAAACAACCCACUAAAUCACACUUAUAUAAUACGUGCGUACAAAUAAAUCCUAAGUCCAAAAAAUCUCAAACAUGGAUCGCAUCGCAAACUUUUUAGAGCCGGGUCAACAAAAUUCGGGUCACAAACUCUAACGGAUACAAUGUCCUUUAUAAUUGGAAACCAUCUCAUCAAUGUGUGUGGUUGCAUCCUUUGCUGUUUUUGUUAAACUCGUGUUUCAUUUGUUGAGCAUUACGUUCCUAAUGUAAGGAUUCUCACACACCAAAUGGUUCUUUGAUACCAAAUUUAGUGUAUAUUUUGAUGAAAUUGUUACUCAUGCAAUAAAGAGGAUAUAUUAAUUUCACUCGACAAGGAACAGAACAACUUAUUAUGUUCGUUUUACUGUCUAGGCACAGGACUUGGCGUAUGGAGGCCAGAGGGUACUUUAAUAAAGUGUAAGUCUCAUGCAAUUUCGGAAAUUGGGUAGUUGAGCAUCUUGUGAUUUUAUUAUUUACCCUGCUUUUUUUUUUUGAGGUCUGAGUCAUUUGUGCGUUAUAUGCAGGCUUCAUGUUGUUGCAUCAAACACCGUUAAUUGAAACAAAUGAUUCACUGCUAUUGUUCCUCUUUCUUCUUUUGUUUUGUUUGUGGGAGGUUUUCGUUAUAAUACAUGAGAUGGAAAAGCAGUCCUGAUUCUUCAUAAAUAGAGCCGUAUCUGCAAUUUCAGAUAAUAAUAAUGAAAUCCAUCUCUGUCCUAUAGUGCUCAAUAAUUUGGGCCAAAAUUGAAAUUGACGUAAUAUAAAAUAAUUUUUGACAAGAAAUCAUACCCGACAUAUAAUAGACAUGCAGCUUAUCUUUGCUCUUUUUAUCAGAUGAUAAAUUCAAAAAUAUAUGGCAGCAUGUUGUUCAGAAGGUUUGUAGAGAAAAGGAAAUCCUGAUUUUAUUGAUUGUAACAGGAAUCCAAAUCUAGAAAGGAUGUGUCCGGAUCACUUGAGCUGAUAAAAAUAUGUAUCCUCUCAAUGCAACAACUACUGCCAACAAAGGAUUAAACAGACAUUAAAAAUUCAAAUGGAACAGAACCUCUCGCUGCACGCAAUAGCGGAAAGCAAUACCGAACAGGCAUGGAUUGUGCUCACUUCCCUGCUCCUUCAACCCUAUAAUUGAAACAAGGAGUGCAAUUUGGAUAAACUUAGUAAUUUUGAAUUUAUCGAACCCAUUAUCCAGAAGGAUUUUGAUAUAGGAUUCAACUAGCAUAGGACAUUGUCUCGAUUGCAACAAAUACAUUUUUAUAUGGCCAUUGAUCAAAUAUCUCUCAACCUUGUGAUGCAUCAAAUUUCUUCAUUUAUGUAAAUAAGAUAUGCAUAAUUACAUAGUAAAACUUGAUUUUUCUACUUAUAAUUCUAACUGAUACAAUUUAGCUUAUAGUACAUAAACAUCUUGCUUUGAUAUUGAGCCUGUGCAGACACGGACCGCACACCUCUAGUCAUUAAUAAACAUGUGCCACUAUCAUAAUAAAAAAGUUGUGAAUAAUUAAUUAAAAUUUGAAAGAAAAUGACUCUUUGAAGUUUUUUUUAAGAAAAUCAGCCUAAUGCGCUAAGCUCGCGUCGUACACAAGGUUCGGGGAAGGGUUCGACCACUAGGGUAGUCUAUUGUACGAAACAUCACCUUAUAUUUCUACAAUGAGUCAUUCCACGACUUGAACCUAUGACCUCCUGGUCACAUUACAACAACUUUAUCAGUUACUUCAAAUCCUCCCCACUUUUUAAUUUUUUUAAAAAAUAAUUUUUAAAACUUGAAGUUGUGUUUAAACUUUAAACGGGAAAAUUUCAUCCAUGAUCACUUAACUAUGUAUCUAUUACUCAAAAGUCAUUUUUCUUUCAUUCAUUUCAUCCAUAGUCAUUUAACUUUACUUUGACCAUCACAAAAGUCACUAUGAUCGGAUUUUACAAUAAUUUCAUCGAAAAAAUGAUGUGGCAACCUUAAUUAAUUCUUAAUUUAAAUUUAAGUGAAUAUAUAAUAUAUUACUCAUAUCUUGACCCUUUUUACAUGUGCACAACACAAUUUUCCUUAUGGACUAUUUAAUGAAAGAAUACUAAUUUCUUGAUAGAUUAGAUUGCCUAGACUAUUUUAUUAAAAAAAUUUAGUUGAUAUUUUUAUGAAAUAAAAUUAUACUUAUAUAUUCUUAAAAUUCUCUAAAGUUGAGACAUGUGUUGGUAAAUUAUUUUUUCCUCUAAUAUGAUGGUAUGUAGUUGAUAAAAUUAUUUUUCUCCCUCUAAAAUUGUGACAUGUAGUUGACAAAAUAAUUUUUUUCAUACAUUUUUUUUCUCACCACUUGAGUCUUUGCAUUCGGUAUAUCAUAAUAAGAUGAUAAACUACUCUAUUUAUUGAGUUUAUCUUUAUAUUUUUAAUUGUUUGACUAAUCGAUUAAUUCUCUUAAAAGUUUUUAUUAUAAGAUUCAAUUUCUUAUGAAUUACAUAUUUUUAAUUAAUUUAAUUGAUAAAUAUAAAAAUUAGAUAUCCUAUAAUUUCUUUAUCUAUUAAAGUACUUAUAUUUUAUAACUUUUAUUAACAAAACUAUACGUUAAUAUAACAUUAUUUGUAAAAUUUUGACAAUACUUAUUCAAUGACACAAUUAAAAAAAAUGAUUUUAAAACUAUCUUUAGCAUGUUGAUUUAUCUUCAAAGAAUUAAAAUAUUUUUUUUUAAAAAAAUAAUAUCAUACAAGUAUUUCUAUUUUAUGUGUUUUGAAGAAUUUAUCUUAUUUAUCACUCUUUUUCGAUGCACCUUUUUGGUAGAUGAAUGCAAUAUUAUGAAAUAUUUCAUAAAAAUAACAAUCAAUUUUUUCUAUGAAAAUAGUCUAUUAAGAAAUUGGUAUUCUUUCAUUAAAUAAUCCAUAAGGAAAAAUUGGGUUUGCACAUAUAAAAAAGAUCAUAUUAUAUAUUCACUUAAAUUAAAAUUAAAUUUCUUUCCUACAUCUUAACUAAUGCAGCAUUCUGUUUUUCUGUUUUAUGUAAAACUAUUUCAAAAAUUUUUGCCAACAAAGAGGAACAGAAGAAUGAAGCAAAUAAACAAGGAUGUUCGGUCCUCAAUUCGAGGUAUUAUUGAUAAAAGAUUGAAGGCAAUGGAAGCAGGGGAGGCUGACAAUAAGGAUCUUUUAGGCAUAUCGCUUGAAUCAAAUUUUAAAGAAAUUGAACAGCAUGGGAACAAGAAGUUUGGAAUGACCAUUGAAGAAGUCAUUGAAGAAUGCAAGCUAUUCUAUUUUGCUGGCGCAGAAACAACAUCAGUACUACUCGUAUGGACUCUGAUGUUGUUGAGCAAAUAUCAAGACUGGCAGGCACGGGCCAGAGAAGAAGUCUUGCAAGUGUUUGAGAGUCGUAAACCAGAUUUUGAUGGAUUGAAUCGUCUAAAAGUUGUGAGUAUUGUGGUUUUAUUGGUUCAAUUUAUCUGCCAUGAGUUUCUACUCUCAUUGUUAUUGCAAUUGCUUGAGUUCUUAAAUUUUUAAAGUUGGGACUUUCUGAUACUAAUUUGAUAGCGGACCAGGGAGGGGGUUGGGGGGAGUAUUUUUCCAAGCGCAUGUGAAUUUAUUUUGAUCAUAGGUGGGAUGAGACUUGAACUUAAGAUUUCUAUGUUGGUUACAGGAUAGUGCAGUACUCCACCUGUAGAAAAUAGUGUAACAACAAAAUUGAAAAGAGCUUGGCGAGUAGCCCCAUAAUUUCAGGAUAAGGGUCGCCUCCUCACAGAAAAAGGUCGCAGCGAUCAGGCCCAGAAGACUGUUUACCAAAAAACACAGGUCUUGGCAGAGUCAUAAAACCAUGUAUAUAUGGGACGUCUUCCCACUCUUGAAGGUCAAAGAAGUUAGUGACCUGAUGAUAAGGGAGUAGGCGACCAAAUCCCCGGUGAACAGUGUCCAUAAGCCCGUAACUGCAAUAUUAAAUUUUACAUGUCUCAUUCAUUCUAGAUAUAAUUGAAGGAGGAGCAUUUUUAUGGCAGGUCAGGAUGAUCUUGUACGAAUCAUUAUGACUGUAUCCCCCAGGAACAUCAUAUAUCCGGCGGCUAAUAAAGACAUUGUUUUGGGAGACCUGUCUAUACCAGCUGAUGUACAAAUCUCUUUGCCAGUGCUCUUAUUGCAUCGUGAUAAAGAGAUAUGGGGUGAAGAUGCAAGAAUGUUCAAUCCAGAGAGAUUUAAAGAAGGAAUAUCAAGUGCAACAAAGGGUCAAGUCACAUAUCUUCCAUUUUCUUGGGGACCUAGAAUAUGCAUUGGACAAAAUUUUGCCAUGUUAGAGGCAAAGAUGGCUUUGUCUAUGAUCCUACAAAGCUUCUCUUUCCAACUGUCUCCAUCAUACACACAUGCUCCUCAAUCCAUAAUAACCUUGCAGCCUCAGUUUGGUUGCCCA